rnacentral:snRNA from 1 species
GGAUGUGAGGGGGGGUCUGGCUGCGACCUCUGUCACCCCACUGAUGGCUGGCUGGCCGGGCGGGUGUCCCCUUCCUCCCUCACUGCCCCAUGUGCGUCGCGCCCAGCCCACAGCUGCCUCGGUCCAAGAGGACGGCCGCCCGUGAGCAGAGAGGGGCGGGUCUUUGGUCCAGGUUGUCCGAGCAGCUGCUCUCCCCGCUAGAACCUCCGAACAAGCUCUCAAGGUCCAGGCUGACCUCGGCCUGCAUCUCUGUGUGUGGCUUUGUGCAAGGCACAGUCGCUCUUU